rnacentral:rRNA from 1 species
UACGAAGGGGACUAGCGUUGUUCGAAAUCACUGGGCGUAAAGCGCACGUAGGCGGAUAUGUCAGUCAGGGGUGAAAAUCCCGGGGGCUCAACCUCGGAACUGCCUUUGAUACAGCAUAUCUUGAGUCCGAUAGAGGUGGGUGGAAUUCCUAGUGUAGAGGUGAAAUUCGUAGAUAUUAGGAAGAACACCGGUGGCGAAGGCGGCCCACUGGAUCGGUACUGACGCUGAGGUGCAAAAGCGUGGGGAGCAAACAGG